GAGUCCGACGUGAGCGCGAGUCAUUGGGAACGACGAAACCCACAGGCGCAAUGAAAGUGUUUGGAAGGUGUGAUCGGUGCGGGAUUUUUCUCGCUGCCGCGCAACACCGGCUGGUCCUUACGUCUCGGUCUGGAUUUUAGACCGUCACGGGGCCAAGCAAGAGCGGUCACGUCGGGACCCGAAAGAUGGUGAACUAUUCCUGAGCAGGAUGAAGCCGGGGGAAACUCCGGUGGAGGUCCGCAGCGAUUCUGACGUGCAAAUCGAUCGUCAAACUUGGGUAUAGGGGCGAAAGACUAAUCGAACCAUCUAGUAGCUGGUUCCCUCCGAAGUUUCCCGUAGGAUAGCUGGCGCUCGUCUAAGUCAGUUGUAUCCGGUAAAGCGAAGGAUUAGAGUCGGCUGGGGCGGAGGCGUCCUGGCACUAUUCUCAAACUUUAAAUGGGUACGGUGCCGCUUCUCGCUUUGUUGUAUUUUUUUGGAGAGCGGAGUAGAAUGAGAGUGCUUAGUGGGCCAUUUUUGGUAAGCAGAACUGGCGCUGUGGGAUGAACCAAACGUGCGGUUAAGGCGCCCAACGCGGCCCUGAUGAGAAACCAUAAAAGGUGUUGGUCGAUCCAGACAGCAGGGCGGUGGCCACGGAAGUCGGAACCCGCUAAGGAGUGUGUAACAA
rnacentral:rRNA from 1 species